rnacentral:rRNA from 1 species
GACGAACGCUGGCGGCGUGCCUAAUACAUGCAGGUCGAACGCUGCUUAAGAAGAAACUUCGGUUUUUUCUUAAGCGGAGUGGCGGACGGGUGAGUAACACGUGGGGAACCUAUCCAUCAGCGGGGGAUAACACUUGGAAACAGGUGCUAAUACCGCAUACGGCUUUUUUUCACCUGAAAGAAAGCUCAAAGGCGCUUUACAGCGUCACUGAUGGCUGGCCCCGCGGUGCAUUAGCCAGUUGGUGAGGUAACGGCUCACCAAAGCAACGAUGCAUAGCCGACCUGAGAGGGUGAUCGGCCACACUGGGACUGAGACACGGCCCAGACUCCUACGGGAGGCAGCAGUAGGGAAUCUUCGGCAAUGGACGCAAGUCUGACCGAGCAACGCCGCGUGAGUGAAGAAGGUUUUCGGAUCGUAAAGCUCUGUUGUCAGCAAAGAACAGGAGAAAGAGGCAAUGCUUUUUCUAUGACGGUAGCUGACCAGAAAGCCACGGCUAACUACGUGCCAGCAGCCGCGGUAAUACGUAGGUGGCAAGCGUUGUCCGGAUUUAUUGGGCGUAAAGCGAGCGCAGGCGGUGAUUUAAGUCUGAUGUGAAAGCCCCCAGCUCAACUGGGGAGGGUCAUUGGAAACUGGAUCACUUGAGUGCAGAAGAGGAGAGUGGAAUUCCAUGUGUAGCGGUGAAAUGCGUAGAUAUAUGGAGGAACACCAGUGGCGAAGGCGGCUCUCUGGUCUGUAACUGACGCUGAGGCUCGAAAGCGUGGGUAGCAAACAGGAUUAGAUACCCUGGUAGUCCACGCCGUAAACGAUGAGUGCUAAGUGUUGGAGGGUUUCCGCCCUUCAGUGCUGCAGUUAACGCAUUAAGCACUCCGCCUGGGGAGUACGACCGCAAGGUUGAAACUCAAAGGAAUUGACGGGGGCCCGCACAAG